rnacentral:rRNA from 1 species
UACGGAGGGUGCAAGCGUUAUCCGGAAUCACUGGGUUUAAAGGGUGCGUAGGCGGUUAUAUAAGUCCAUGGUGAAAGACGGCAGCUUAACUGUCGCAGUGCCAUUGAUACUGUAUGACUUGAAUAAGGAUGAGGUUGGCGGAAUGUGACAUGUAGCGGUGAAAUGCAUAGAUAUGUCAUAGAACACCAAUUGCGAAGGCAGCUGACUAGACCUUUAUUGACGCUGAGGCACGAAAGCGUGGGGAUCGAAC